UACAGAGGGGGCAAGCGUUAUUCGGAAUUAUUGGGCGUAAAGGGCGCGUAGGCGGCCUGGCAAGUGGAUGGUGAAAUCCCUCGGCUUAACCGAGGAACUGCCAUCCAGACUGCUUGGCUUGAGACCGGGAGAGGUGAGUGGAAUUCCCAGUGUAGCGGUGAAAUGCGUAGAUAUUGGGAGGAACACCAGUGGCGAAGGCGGCUCACUGGACCGGAACUGACGCUGAGGCGCGAAAGCGUGGGGAGCAAACAGG
rnacentral:rRNA from 1 species